rnacentral:rRNA from 1 species
GACGAACGCUGGCGGCGUGCUUAACACAUGCAAGUCGAGCGGUAAGGCCCUUUCGGGGGUACGACGAGCGGCGAACGGGUGAGUAUCACGUGAGAAACCUGCCCCGAAGACCGGGAUAACACCGGGAAACCGGUGCUAAUACCGGAUGCCCUCACCGGAUCGCAUGGUCUGGUGAGGAAAUGGAUUCCGCUUCGGGAUGGUCUCGCGGCCUAUCAGCUUGUUGGUGGGGUAAUGGCCCACCAAGGCUCGACGGGUAGCUGGUCUGAGAGGAUGUCCAGCCACACUGGGACUGAGACACGGCCCAGACUCCUACGGGAGGCAGCAGUAGGGAAUCUUGCACAAUGGAACGAAAGUCUGAUGCAGCGACGCCGCGUGUGGGAUGACUGCCCUCGGGUUGUAAACCACUUUCAGCA